AAAAAAAAAAAAAGAAGAAAAUCUAAGUGAAAACUGAAGCCAGCUGGAAAGCAGCUUCUACUUAUCCAGAUGAAGCCAGCAGAAGUAACAAGGGAGCCUUCGGUGACCUGGGCCACCGUUCCCACUGGCCUGGUGCUGGCCGGGGGGCUGCAGGAUUUUAAGGCCCUGCCGGCCUGAGGCCCCGUCUCCUCCUUGUAUCUUAUCCUCCCAUGAGAAGGCAGUGAGACAGAUGUCUUCACAGCGCCCCUGCGCCCACUCACCCACCCAUCCGCUCAUCUAUCCAUCCAACAAGCUGUUUUUAGGCACCUGCUGUGUGCCAAGUCCCUGGGGCUGGAACCCAGAUGUGGGACAAAGGUACAGACCCUAAGCUGAGGCCUGUGGAGAGAGCGGCAGGCCCUAUGGGGCAGGGGUCCUGGCAGGUGUGCUGGGGUCACCCCCAUUGUGCCCACUUGCUGGGCUGGAGCUCAUACAGGCAGGUGGCCCAGCCCAGGCUGCGCACGUCCUCACAGUGAGGUGGUGGCCAGGCUGGCACAGGGCGCUUUCUGCUCAGGAAGGGGGUCCCGCCGGUGGGCGCUGUGUCCUUUCUGCUCUUCCUAGGUGAGGAGUGGACCACAAAGGAGAGCACAGGGUGGCUUCAGCGAGGGUGGCUGGACACUGGGAUGGUCAGCCUGGAGGUCACUUGGCUGCUUCAGCCCCCUGGGCACCCUCCCCCACUCCCACUGGCCCAGGUGCCCUGGGGUCUUCACCCCCACCCCCGCAUACUACAACACUGCUCUCUCCUCUCCCUGGGGCGCUUCACUCCCUGUCUGUGCCCUGGUUGAAGGCUGAACCAUGCCUGGAGCACUGCUCUGGCCAAGAAAUGUUUGUGGAAUAUCUGACCAAAAGGAUGCCACAGCAGCCCUGGAGGUCAGGACCAAGUAGCAUGUUUAUGGUGCAGAUGAGACACUGGGACUCAGAGAGGCCACAGAACUUGCCAAGGGCACUCGGUGGCUGAGGAAGGGGCCGGGUCCCUCCCACUCCAGACUGGCUCUCAUUUGGGUGCAAGGGACCUGUGGUGACGAUGGCUGCACAGGUCUCUGUCCUCAUAUUAACAUCCAGCCUUGCAGAUGGGGUGUCUGUGGUGGGCCUGGCAUGGGCAGACCUCCGAUCUCCCUGGUGCUAACUGCUGAGUUCAUCUCUGGGGUUAGCAGGGUUAACUGCGUCCCCGUCACAACGUCUCAAUGCUCCCACAGCUGUGGGGGCCACAGUGGAGGGGGCCAUCCCUUUCUGAGCCCAAGCAGGGCUCUGGGCAGAAGUCCCAGUGUCUCUCAGUGUCUCUGAUGUCCUUCCUUCCAGGCGGGGGUUUCAGGUCUGCUAGUGGUGGCUCUUCAGACCCUUACUCCGCGUCAGCAGUUCCCGGGACACCAUUGCCACCUCCUACCCUAAGGGUCCCUGCUCCAGGUUCUAUCCCACUGAGGAGAGUCUUCCCUGCAGGAAGCAGGGACCUGAGCUCUCUGCUCCACUCCUGGCCCAGGCAUAAUGCCAGGGCCUGACCUUCAUGGGGCCUUGUGGCUCCUGGCAGGGAUUGAGUAGAUGGGGCUGGGACAGGCAGACGCCUGUGGCCUGUGUGUGUGGCAGGCCCUGUGUGUGGGACCCAUGGGGACAGACAGGCUCUCUGGGGUGAAUUCCCACAUCCUGAAUAGACCCGAGCCUAGACACCAUCAGAGUGCCAUCCGGCACCAUCUCAGGGUUCCCCGAACCCUCUGGGGGCCGUGGAACCACACAGUUGAGCUGUGAUGAUGCCAGAACCCCAACCUUCACCUUGGUUAGCUGCAGGGACCAGCCUCAGACCUGUUCUGGGACGCCUCGCCGUGACUGGGGCUUUCUGGACUCUACUUCUGGCUUCUGUCUACCUUGUCCUGUCCUUCUUCCCAGUGGUGACCGUGUGGGGGAGGGUCCACAGCCCACCCCAACCAGGGAGGGUUUUCUCCCUUCCUCCUUCCUCUCCUGCCAACAGGGAGCGUGGGCCAGCCGAGGAGCCUUUCCGGGGUGGGAGGAACAGCAGCGUGAGUGCAUUUUGGAAAGCAGGAGCCUUCUGCAGGCCGAGGGGCUUGUCCCCGAAGUCCUGGGUCUGCCCUGCACAGCUGCAGAGUUGAGCCCCUGCUUACUAGUGGUUGCUGCACUCAUGAACUGGAGCACCUAGCAGGCUCUGGGCCAGGCUCGGGUCCCCUGGGUGUGCCCACCAGCUGGCUUCUCUGAGCCCUGGCUUUGAGGCCACACGGGGCUGUGGCAGCUGCACUGAGGGAGAAGUGGCUGCUGGAGCCACUGGGGAUUUCACUCCAGCUGCUACAGAAGACCCAUCAGCCAUGUCUCUGCCCAGAGGCCUCUGCCAGCAGGGGGUCCCAGGCUGGGGGAGGUUGACAGCUGCUGCCUGCUGCUCCCCACCCAGGCAGCAGCUCUGAGCCACAGAAAGAGCCGGGCUGGGACUCUGGGAGCCUCCAAAGGACAGGGUGGGUCUCGGGGCCUCAGAGCAGUUCCAGACGGCUGCAGGAGUGGGAGAAGCAGCAGUUUCUCAAGAAGAACGAGAGGGCCUGGACCACAGCCUCCGCUUCCUCUUCUGGAGAAAAGCCGCAGCUGAGCGACGCUGGCUGAUAAUUGUGCAGCCUCUGUGCCUGGAGCCUGCAGCAGAGGCCAGGAGUUUCGAACAGGGACAACGGAUGUAAACUGGGACUCUUCAGGGCACAUCGAGAUGUGUAUUACCCUACUUACUACCACUUCCUAGCUGCGUGGAUUUGGGCAAGUUACAUAACCUCUCUGAAUUCUGGUUUCUGCAUAAAAAAGGCCAACAUCAUGUGCCUGCCUCCCAGGGCUGCGGGAGGGAUGGAAGAAGUGAAUUACCUGAGUUCCCGAAACAGCCCUUGGCACAGUGCCGGUGGGGUGGGGGGCUCUCCAUGCUUGUUCUUUUCCUCUGAGAGUGGUUGGUUCUGUCCCUGGAGGUGAGCAAGGGCCUGCCGGCCAGCGUUCUGCAGUGUGAGGGCCUCAGCAGGGCAUAUGUGCAGCUGCAGAGCCAGAUUCCAGUCCUGCCUGUGCCCUCCAGAAGGGUGACAACCCUGGGAGCCCCUGGAGGCACAGCCUGCGACCCUGAGGGAUAAGCUCCAUCUCCAGAAGGAACGAGUGGAUGAGGUCAGAGCCCAGCAGUGACCUGUCUGUGCUGGGGUCCAUCCCCACCAACAAGGGCAGAGCUGCUGCAGCAGGUGGAACGGACAUGCCUCCUGCCAGAUGCGCUGGCUGGAUCAGCAACUCUCCAAGGUGGCCUCAUGCUGUGGACAUUACCCCAGGUGCCUCAACUUCUGGCUACUUUGUCUCCUUUCCACUCCUCAUCCCCAGAGAAGGUUCUUCUGGCCAGAAGGAUGGCCUCUGAAAAUGUCAGAUCCGGAAGGCAUUCGUGCUAAUGGUGCUCAGCCCUCAGCAAAGUCACCUGGCCAGUCAACCCCAUUAAAUGAGGAGCUAAAAGCCCACAGGCCGCAGUUGGGGCUCACAGACAGCCCAGGAGGCAGGAAGUUGGUGUGCUACCACAAGGGUGGGUCCUCAGGGUGGGUGCAGGGUCCCUCUCAGGAUUGAGUCACCAGGUGGAGGCCACAUGGCUUCCAAUCAACCCCUUCUUCACACCUUUGGCUUUGGCACAGGCAGGGUCUUCCCAGCUAUACCCUCCUAAGUGAGGUCACAGGUAACACCACACAAGGGGCAGGCCGAGGUGUGUGUUUCACGACUUAUGCCACUUCCUCGCUGUGUGGGACCCAAAGGUGACCUAGAGCUGAGAAACCCAUGUCUGCAAAAACAAGGCCACUGGAGUUGAGGCAAGAGAGGCCAAAAUCCUACCUAGGAUGCUGGGGCCAAUCAGCCCAUUAUGGAGCAUCCUGAAAAGCAAGGCCACCACAAUACCAAAGGACUAGAGGAACUGUCACACACGCCACCCAAACAACCUGCCAACCUUUCUCGCUGACCCCAAAUACUGGGAUAUUAUCCAGUGUAAAUUUGUAGGCAAAAGAAUGAACUCACGUGGUUUUAUCAUAUUUGUAUUCAGGGAGAUUGACCAUUUUCACGUAUUUGCAGAGCAUGUGUAUUUCUUUCCUUCUUUUUUUUUUUUUGGGACGGAGUCUCACUCUGUUGCCCAGGCUGGACUGC